UACAAUAAAUGAAAAGAAAAAAUAAAAAUCAAAGAGUUGCGCCCAGUUUAAUGGUUGUAAUUGUGGCCAAAUGAAAUAUGGCAUCGAACGAUACGGACUCCUCCGUCGUGGGUGUUGCCCGCCUCUAUAUCGACGCUUACACGCUAUAAAUAUUUUAAAUGAUUAUCUCCGUGCUCCGGCUCGUCAUUUACAUAAGCGACGAUCGAAUGCCGCGCUUAAAAUAUUCGCACCGCGCCAAACGAAUGUCUAUUGCAAACUGCAUCCAGUGAUUUAAAUUGUUAGUGCGCUUCGAAAUCUUCGAACCGAUGCGUAUUAUGCGCGUCCCGUUCAACAUCAGAUUCUUAUUUGUGUCCAAAAAGCGUUCGGAAGACUUAAAGCUAGCCCGGUUGAUGUAUGGCGGCGACACGUGAAUGCCGACCUUUAUAUUCAAAUCGACGUUAUUCAAAUCGGCUCGUUGUCUAUUCCACGGUUGACAGUUCGCUUACGUUUCACAAAUCGUAAAAAAGGUAAACCGCGAAACGUCAUAUCACGCGAAAUUCGAUUUUAGAAUGUGAGUUUUUGGCGGGCUCACGAUACGCAUCUAUCUGGGCGGCGUCCAUGUUUUGUUUUGUUUACGUUCGAUUGUGUCCGCUUCGGACGCGGCCCGAGAUCGGUAGAUAUUUGACGUGAGUCGCUGAUAAAGUUAGCGUUUUGCGGCGGCCGGCGCGUUAACGAGAUAGCGAGCGCUGGUUGCUGCGGAGGAAAAAUAGAGGAACUGACGGGAUCGUCUCCAAAAAAAAAAAACCAUAGAGCACUUAUUUUUUUACUGUAAUUGAGUUUUUAAUAAAGAUGAAUCGGACCGUGCAAAAUAGUUUGAAAUAAAAUAAAAAUACACAAAA